ACGACCCAAGGCACAUCAUUUUUUUUCUUCUAGGAGACAGAAAAGAGUGACAAAAAGCCAAGAUGAGACUGUAUCUUGCAGCUGCUGUCCUGUUGCUGGCUUUUGUUGCAUACACAGAGGCUCAGGAUGACUCAAUCCAAGAUAGGUUAUCCACAUUCAGGGAUCAGGUCACUGAGUUCAGCAAGACUGUGGCUGAAAAGGCAAAGACCCAUUUUGACACCAUGAGAACCAGUGAAUUUGCAGAGUCCACCAAGAACUGGUUCACAGAGCGGUUUCAGCAGAUUAAGCAGAAGAUAGAUGAAAUCUCUCAAUGAGCUGAUGAACCAGUCAAAGACCUCUGCCCUCAACGGCCACACUGCCAUGGCAGCUGACCUGCUGCAACAUCUAAAGGCUGAAGUCAUGUCGCUCAUAAAAUGGACAAAACUAACCUCUAUUGUCAUUUUUUUGCCUAUUAUCAUUUAUGGAAAAACUGUGUAAAAGUGCAAUAAAACACAUGAAA